rnacentral:rRNA from 1 species
UACGUAGGGUGCGAGCGUUGUCCGGAAUUAUUGGGCGUAAAGAGCUCGUAGGCGGUGUGUCACGUCGGCCGUGAAAACCUGCAGCUUAACUGUGGGCGUGCGGUCGAUACGGGCAUCACUGGAGUUCGGCAGGGGAGACUGGAAUUCCUGGUGUAGCGGUGAAAUGCGCAGAUAUCGGGAAGAACACCCCGUGGCGAAGGCGGUUCUCUGGGACGGUACUGACGCUGAGACGCGAAAGCGUGG